UGCAUGGACUCAGAAAUGAUGGCUGAAUUUCCUGCCAGUUGGAAGGGUCCCCUUUAAGGUUACGGUUGUGAAUUUAAACAGAGACUGGCCUGUCUCCAGCCACAAUCAGCUGAGCAGGUGCAGGCAUGGAUUAGGCAGAGAGCUGGAGUUUUGCCAAACAAGGAAGACAAGGUGAGAGAGGGCCCAUGGAGUGAAGGGUCUAACCAAGGGAGCAAUUAUCAUGAUGAACUACGAAGGCUGAGCUGUUACAGAACAGUGAUGACACGAUGGGGCUGAGGGACCUUGAAAAGGUGGCGGAUCAACAGAUUGAGGUUCCCUGGGCUGGCAAAGGAUUGCUGGAGUCAUGGUACCAGAGGAAGUGAGCUGGUGUGAGAGGAGGUGGAGACCAGAGAGUGAAAUUCUUAAAAUGGAGACUGUGGCCACUGUGUCCUGAGUCCUCAAAUCCAAUUUACAGAAAGGCCUUUGACUAACAGUUAAUGAAUAAUAAAACCACAUGCCUGGAAGCAACUUCAAGAGGUCCUAGUUCAGAUGACUUCACAUUCUCCCACCAAUUCUGAACAUCUUGGGGAAGAAAAUGCCACCACCCAGGGUGGAAACAAGCACACCAGACAGACUAACCAGAAAUCAAAGUGAAGGGAAAAACAACUGCUUCUUAGUUGUUGCUAUUGCUGUUACAGUUAUUGAAAAAUGUUGAUUGUAUGUUUCUGGUUCUGAUUAAAGUCUUGUAGGCCCCUGGGAUUCAUUUGAGACUGCUAAGUCCAAGACUCUUCCCAGAGAAACAAUUCACUGCUCUGAGGCACCUUGUGAACCUGCUCAGGCUCCCUGGCAUAGAUGGGGCAAGAAGGAAAGGGUCCUCAAUAUAUUGGAUGAAGACCACCUAUUCAAUGGGUUGGAUGAUGCUCAUCUACACUGAGGAGGACAAUCUACUUUACAGAGUUCACCAAUUCAAAUGCUGACUCUAUUCAAAACACCCUCACAGACACAUCUGGGAAUACAUUUAAUCUAAUGCUCCCUAAACUCUAUUCAAAACACCCUCACAGACACACAUGGGAAUAUGUGUAAUCUAAUGCUCCUUAAAGACUCUAAUGCUCCCUAAUGCUCCAACAGUCAAGUUGACAACAUAAAAUUAACCAUCACACACAUAAAACGUCUAUAUCAAGCUUGUGCAGCCUGUGGCCCACGGGCUGCAUGCUACCUAGGAUGGCUUUGAAUGAGGCCCAACACAAAUUUGUAAACUUUCUUAGAACAUUAUGAGAUUUAUUUUUAUUUUUAUUUUUUAACUCAUCAGCUAUUGUUAAUGUUAGUGUAUUUUAUGUGUGGCCCAAGACAAUUCUUCCAAUGUGAUCCAGGGAGGCCAAAAGAUUGGACAACCCUGAUCUACAUGUUCCCACUCUGGUUAUUAAACCCUGGGAGAGGGUCUCUUGGUAAAGAUACUUUUAGAUACAAUAAACAGAAAAGACCUAGGGAAAAUAAUUACCCUGCAUUAGCAAAUAAACUAAACAAUGAAACAAGUACUCAGUGAAGGUGCUCAGAGGAGGAAAAAUCAAGCAACCAAUUUCCCAUUUUGUCUUUGAAUUCCUAAGAAGAAAUUUAUCUAUUAAAAAUAAAUUUGAUAAUUUUUAAAUUGAUAUAGGCGCUAUGAUAGAUUUAUCAAUCUUAAAUUCUAGCAGUGUUAUACAACCUCUGUAGGAGUCAACAAACUACUCAAGUGAUGGAUACCUCUAAGAAGCCUCAUAUAUUUUCUAUGUCCCAGCCCUUAACUGUCACCCUGGAACUUUUACUCAAGGAAUAUUCUUUCGUCCUUUGCAAUACCACAUCGACUAACUGUGCAGGGAGGGAUUUACUGUCCAAAUGGAACCACCAGAUCAAAUGCUUUCCUUCCUUGUAGCCCCUGUGGGCUCCGAUAUUCAUAGUGAGAUCAUAGCUGAUUGAGACAAUUCAUUUAUCAGCAUCCUUAUGUCUAAAUCAAAACUAAACUAAAGAUCUCAAGAAAGUACUGGCUUUUGGAGGGCCAAAAAGUUCUACUGGGAUAGGCAGGAUUAUUGAGGCCAAAUACACUAAGGCUCACUCAGAUUGAGUCAUUGACAUUUCUACCCCAACUUGCACAAGACUAAGCAGACUAAAAGCAAUGGUUGAAACCCAAAAGUUGAAAGUCUAAUAGAUAAAGGUUUUACCAUAUUUUAUACAGCCCUUGUUACACUCUUAUGUUCCCAACUAAAACCAAACCAAACCAAAACAAAUGGGCAAACAAAAACAAACAAACAAAACCCAAUGGGUGUGGAUAUAGGCUUUUUUUUUCGGGACCUCAGGACUGUAAAUAGAAAAAUCAUUCCCCACUUCCCUGUAGUGCUAAACCCCAAUAUUAUUUUAUCUCUGGUGCCUCUUGAGAUAGCGUAUUUUACAGUUGCAGAUUUAUGUUCUAUAAUUUUUUAGUGUUCCUUUAGAAUCUAUAGUUUAAAUCAAAACAGUCAAUAUUUAUCCUUCUCCUGGGAAAAUCAACACUAUUCCUGCACUAUUAUGCCCUAAAGAUUUGCUGAGGCACCAUCCUAUUUUUCACAGUCCAUCAGCCAGAACCUCAAAGAUGUUCAAGUUCCUUUUGAUUCUAAUCUUAUCCAAAAUGUGAAUGACGUUUGUUGUGUUUUAAAGAGGAAGUGAGCUCUAAGAUUGAUUCUAUUGAUUCCAUCUAACAAUAACACUUACUGUUUUAGUUCAGAACAGAUAUGAGGUUUCCAAAGAAAGUUACAAUUUUGUCAAAGUAAGAGUCAUUAUCUAGGACAUGAUUUUUCGCAAGGAGUUGAAUUCCUGAUUUCUGACAGAGUACAAAUAGUUUGAAACUUUCCUAAGCCAGAGACUAAGAGAUAGUUAAGUGUAUUUCUGGGUCUCACUGGCUACUCAAGGCAGCAGUUUCACUUUUCUGAAAUCAUGGCCCCACUAUGACAUAAGUAAGUUCUUGCUAACGGAACCUCUUCACUGGGAACCUAAACAUGAACAGGGCUUUUAUGACUUAAAAUUAGUCCUCCUUCUACCACUCACUCUGGGUUUGACCUAGACCUAGUUAUUAUAAGACUUUCUGUCUACUUCUAUGUGAAAGAUAUGGAUAAUUCCUUGGACUUCUGAUUCCAUUUUGUGGGAAUUAUCAGAGAUCAAUGAAUGGUCUCUCUCUUGACCCAGUAGCAAACCCUACUCACCUUGUCUAAGUGCAAUAGCAGGAACAGCUGCCCUAGUGGGGGCUUCCACCAGCUUGACAUUAGGCUCUUUAAAUCUAAUAGUUCUUCAUGGUGUACAGAUUUUGUUGCUCACAGCAAAUGCACAAUAUUACUUAGCAAAUAGACUUACCUCCUGUGUAAUCAUAUUAUUUUCUUGUUCACGUAUUUUCAUCCAUCAUUGCAACACUUUGAAUUCUGAAAUUAUUUUUUUCAUAACCUGAAAAAGGGGAAAAUCUUGACCGUCUAACCUCUAGUUAUGAUGUAUGUUCAAAAUAGAUUUAUUAUAAAUGACUUAGGAAAUCUAUACUUAACCUUUGUUGGUAUGCCAUAUCUUUGUUCUGAAACAGGAAAAUAUCAGACAGAAUAUGCUGUAACAGAUCUUACUUUGCUCCUGGAAUAUGACUUCUUGCCAGUGGCAAAAUCUACCCAAAUGGUGGAACUUGUACACCCAAGAAUUUGUAAAUAGCUAGAGAUUAAAGGGUUAAUAAACACACAGCUAAUAGAUCUCUUUUGGGAGGGUACAUGAUUUUGGAAUGCUUUGGAAACAAAAAGCAUGGACACCCCAAUUAAGAGUAUUCAGCAAAUUAAAUAACUUUAGAGUGCUAUAAUGCUUCCUAAUGAGAUGCCAAUUACAAAAGUAGGUGCUUAUACGAAAUAAGCUAGUGUGGAGGCUAAGAAAAUAUAAAAUGUCUAGGCUGAUCAUUAUGCCAGGCCAGUAGCACUCACUGAGAUCCUACCCAAAUCCUUGAAGAAGUUCAAGGAGGCCUUUAUAGAACUUCUGCAGCCAAUUCUAGUCAGGAAUGGGUACUGGGAGAAAUAUGGGUUCAAAUUGGAUGUAAAUCAGCCCCCUUCUUUGCUCUUUUGCAGGUUUAAAGCUACCUUUAUCUAUGCUAGUUAUAAGUCACUAUUCUUAAUGUUGUUUCUUGUAUCCUUAACUACUCCUUGAUAUGAGCCCAAUAAUUAGCUACAAUUUGCUAGUGAACUGGUUAAGCAUACAACUAAACUGAUUAUUGGGGUUGUAUAUGUUUUCAUUUGAGAAGGCAUUACUUCCCUAGGGCUGCCAUAACAUAUUACCACCAACUAGGUGGCUUAAAGUGACAGAAAGUUAUUCAUUAACAGCUCUGAAGGCUAGAAGUCUGAAAUCAAGGAGUUGGCAAGGUUGGUUCCUUCUAGAGACUCUAAGAGGGCAUCUGUUCCCUGCCUGUCUUUAGCUUCCAGUAGUUGCUGGCAGUCACUGGUAUUCCUUGACUUGCAGCUGUAUCGCUCUAAUCACUGCCUGUGUGUCUCUGUCCAGAUCCGUCCCUCUCCUUGUGGAGAUAUCAGUCAUUGGAUUAAGGAUCACCCUAAUCUAGUAUAACUUCAUCUUAACUUGAUUAUAUCUUCAAAGACCCUAUUCCCAAGUAAAUUCACAUUCCCAGUUUCCAGGUGCACAUGAAUUUUGAGGGGACAAUAUUCAACCAAGAACAGAGAGCCACACAGCUUCCCUUGCUUCCAGUCCUUGUAAUAAUCAGUUGGUUUUCUGGACAGAUGGCUUCAAGUACUUUGUGACUUUUUAGAUGAGAAACAUCACAAGAGCCCAGGUAACCAGAAACCCACAACUCUCUAUUAUGCCAUACCUAGAAUAGGAGGUUUCUAUCUCCCCUAAAAAAUACUUGGUGACAUUUUGUGGGAGCUAGCUUUUGUAACUAGACCUUUACAGAAAUAGAACUUGAAAGAGGGCUAGGGAACAGAUGGUAUAUAUUUGGAGUAGUGUCACUUUCACAGAUCUUACAAGUAAGACACAUUAUUUGCUUUUAAACUACCUAAUGAUGUCUAUACUACAAAUUUCAUUGCCUGGCACCAAACUAUUCUUGAUAAGUGUUGUCAAAAUAUUACAGCACUGUCUGUCAAUCCAAUAAAUGUUUUUUGGCCACAGUGAAUCAUUGAGUGGCUCCUAAUGACUGGGUUUUAAUUAGUAGCACAACAGCCUACUAGCUACUGUUGUUCUAUUCCUAAACUAAAUAGGAACAAAUUAUCUUGAUAAAUGGACACCUUCUUUCAGUAUACUUCUUAACAUCAUCUAGGGUCUGCUUUGGCCUACACAUUUUUCCUUUAGGAAAAAUAGAUAAUCAGAAAACAUGAUUCAAGGAGAAAAACUAGACCUUGAUGUAAGAACCCAAAUUGUAGCCUCUCAAGGGGAAUUUUGAGUUGCUUUUUAUCUCUUUGGCUUCUUCACUUCAUGAUUUACCAAAGGCCCAGAAAGUGGGAAAGUGCCCUACAUGCUGUGAUUAGGAGAAUAACAGAUGAAUUGGAUUAGACAAUGUCUCCUCAUCCGAGAAGUUCAAGAAAUUGGCAGGCGGUAGGUUAAAAUAGAGCUGCCUUAGAUAUAGCAUUGGCAUCUCAAGAGGGAGCAAGUGCAGCUGUAAGAGAAGAAUAUUGUACUUAUAUCUCUGCAUAUUAAUAUUACUAAAAAGAGCUGGGAUUCACAAAGAAAACAGAAAAUUAGGUAAUUUGGUUAAUAACCUCAUAGCUGGUUCUGUGGGCCAUUCACAUUGGGGAUGGGAUCUUUUCUAUUGAUUUAAUGGUGAAACUCUUAGCUCCUGCCUGGGAAGUGGACUAUAAACACUGAUCAUAAUAUUUCUCUUAGCAUGUUGUGACAAUUAGUUGUGUGAGCUUCAAAGUCUUCAAUGCUGUUGUAUAGUCUCUAUUUUAUGAAACGAUCCAACAAAUAAUCAUCAGCAAAAAGAACAGGAAAGCCUGACAUUUAUGGAGGUUGGAACAAUCAAUCACUGGUAUUAUGGGUUGAGGGUGUUAGAAUCCUAACUCCAAGUACCUCAAAAUGUAAUCUUAUUUGAAGAUAGGGUCUCUAUAGAGAUAAUCAGUUAAAAUGAGGGGCUACCUGGGUGGAUCAUAAUCCAGUACUGGUGUGCUUAUAAAAAAUUUGGACGUUGAGACAGACAUGCACAUAGGGAGAACUCUAUGUAAAGAUGAAGGCAGAGACUGGAGUGAUGAUUCUACAAGCCAAGGACUGUGAAAGAUUGCCAGCAAACCACCAGAAUCUAGGGAAGAGGCAUGGAACAGAUUCUUCCUCACAGCUCUCAGAAGAAAUCAAUCCUACCAGCAUAGAUCUUGGACUUUUAGCCUCCAGGACUGUGAGACAAUAAUUUUCUGUUGUUUAAGUCACCCAAUAUGUGGUAUUGUAUACUGAGCCCUAGCAAAUUAAUGCAACUGGAAACUUGAUACAUGAUUGUGACACUUCUAGUAGCAGAAAAGAUCUGGAUUGAUCACACACUAAGAUAUUAAUUGUCUAUCCCUCAGCUCAGGCUGAAGAUACUUGGAUCCUAUAAUUACAAUUACUUAUCCCUAUACAGCUUACUGUCUACAAUAAUGUAGCUUUACUAUUUCAUUGUCUUUAUUAGUAUAAAUGUACUAUUUCAGGAAACUCUUGCUUAGAAGAAUGAAAGUUGGAAAUAACUUUAUUGUUAUUGUUAUUAUUGUUUCUGUAUUCCAGAAAGUUCUUCAAAGAACCAUCAACUUUUCAACAGAAAGCAUCCACCAAGGAUAGUCUAUGCCCUAAGACUCUUUGAACUCAUGCCUUCAAAGUCCUUGUCUUGCUGAAUGAAAUAUUCUAAUCCUAUCACUAAUCCUAAACUACUACAUCAUGACUCUUCCUGAAUCUUAAUCAAGCCCCUACCCAUAUUGAAAGACACACCUUAAGCCAGGCUUCAAAUUCCUGAUAAAAUCUGACCUUGUAUCUCCCUGUUUGAGAUACUCCCAGAGCUCUGUUGAGAUGCUCUCCCUUAUAAAGGUUAGCAAUAAACUCACUCUGCCUUAUCAACAAGAUAUGUUGUUGAUAUUUAGGAACCGUCAUUCUAAAGAAUGAGGCAGAUUUUUAAGUGGCUAGCACAAGUAGUGAUUCUGAGAGAGAGAAGUGAUGGAGCUAGAGUGACAAAUGAUGAAUUUGAGUCAUUUGAGAACCCUUGCCAAAAUAGGUGGGACCUAAAGAAACCAAAGUAUCUAAGAGGUGGUGGUAGUUGGAGGGGAGGGAGUGACGAUGAAUAUCAGUUAUAUUAACAAUAAACCUUUGAUCUUGAUUGCAAUACUAAUUACUUAUAUUGAAAUUUUAAAUCCAUGUAAGUAUUCUGUAGACUUGCUACUCAAAGUGUAGUCUUGUAGUUGAGCAGCAUCAGUACCCCUUGAGAGCCUGUUAGAAAUUCAGCAACUCAGGCCACCCUCAAGGCUACUGAGUCAGAAUCAGCAUUUUACCAAGACGCCCAGGGUGAUUUAUAUGCACACUAAAGUUUGAGAAGCACUAGACCCCAGCAGAUCUCAAAUGGAGCCAAAGAGCUUUGUAUAGAUACUCAGGUUUUCCUGAGGCAUGCUGUGUUAGAAUUUUUGUGUGGAAAGUCCUAGAAAAUGAGGACAAGUUUUGAUCAUUCUUGGAAAUUGAAGCAAGUAAAUGAACAUAUUAUAGGUGGGAUCUGUCAUUGCUACAUGGAGGCAGCAUAUUAGAGUAAAACAAAAUCAGAGAACUCAGAGUUCAAGUUCAGUUUUGGCCAUUUAUCUUCUGGUAACCUUGAGUUACUCCUUUCUUAAAUUUUGAGCUUCAGUUUUAUCUCAGUAUAAGAAAAUAACAACAUUUCCUUAAGGAAGAUCUCAGAAGAGUUAAAUGCAA
rnacentral:lncRNA from 1 species